UAUGAAAUUUGUCAUAAUUAUUUUUGAGCCGAAUAUCUAUAUACGAGGAUUAUACAUAUAAAAAAAAGAAGAAUAAAGGAUCAUUAAAUAGAAAAACAUCUGUUUCUGAAUUCGUAUAUUAGUUUGCAAUAAGUGUCAGGAUAGUUUCCACGUGUAUUAUAAAGCCAAAGGUGACGAUGAGUUAAAAGUAAAAUUUCCUCAAGAACUGAAGAUGUCUGAUCACGCGACGACAAACUAUACACCGAAUAGAACAAAACGAACAUAGCGAGUAAUCUCACCGACUGAUAAUUACAAUCAGCGAGUGCUCGUAAAAAUAUUGUUACAUAACGGCAAUAGCGGUAGCAGUACAGUAUAACAGUGACUACUAAACGGCAGCGGUAUAGUGAUCUACGCUUCGAAAACUGCGACGGAUAAUGGUUGUCUAUAUGAUUGCCAUGCUCGUAUAGAGUUAAGUGCACCUAUAUAAGGUCCAACACACGUACCUACAUAUAUAUAUAUAUAUAUAUAUAGAUAAACAGUAUAGAUUCCUCAAACAGAAAAUCAAAAAGCGAAAAUUUGAUAUGAAAUUAUCUGAUGGAUGCUAUAAAGAAACUGCUUAUUUCUGUCAACGAAAAAGUAAUAGAACGCUUCUAUAUACGUAAUGGCCAUUUGUCAUCUUAUAAUGCAUAUGAGAAAACUUUUUGUCACUAAUAAAAACUGAUUUACAAUCCUGCAUUUUCAAUCGCAGGGUAAAUAAAUUGCGCUAUGAAGAAAAUAUUCUACAUCCGACGGAACCUUUCAAUUAUGCGCUUAAUAAAAUAUAAAAGCAGAAAUAUAUAUCAAUCAAAUUAAUUUAUCAGAGUAAUUGCUGAUAGUCUACGUUAAUUUUAUGUAUUUUUUGUAGCCCUAUAAUUGUUAUAUACUGUUAGGCUUUGUUAUUUUCAAAUAAAUAAAUAAUAAUAUAGAAUAUUUUUGUUAAUUUAAUGCAUAUAUAAAAAAGCCUUAGCAAAAAUAAAAAU